rnacentral:lncRNA from 1 species
GGUAGGGAAUGGAAGGUUAACUUCACUUCCUGCUCUGUAGUCCCACGAACCAUGAAACAUGCACUAUCCUGGAAGGAAAUCAGACUGCCAUCUGAAUAUACCAGGCAGGAGAUGAUAGAAGGGCAGUCCAGAGUGGCACACCAAAGUAUUUCUGAUGCCAGAACUUCACCAUCAGAGACAGCAGUCCUCUUCCCUGGCCUGGACAAGAUCCCCAAGAUGGUUGAGUUUGCUGGGGAAAAAAAAAAAAAUCCUUUUAAGACUGUGGGAAGAAAUGCUGCCACUGCCACCUGGGAUGAUACCUGGAGAAAAAAAGGUUUCUAUGGUUUUGGAUCUAUGAAGGGGGCUUCCAGGAGAUGAUGAUGUUAAAGUAUUUACAAAAAUAUCUUGAAAACAGAGCCACUGAAGCAAGAAAGUAUGAAAGCAAUUUUCUAAAACUGUGAACAGAAGUACAUCUAUAAUUAUAGGCAUUUAAACUUGGAGCCCAUUGGAGAAUGUAAACACAUUCUUUUUAUCAAAAAUGUUACAAUGAUAAUGAAGAACAUUUAAUAAGAAAAGU